ensembl:lncRNA
CCUGCACAAGGAGUCGCUAGAGCGCAAUGAGCCAAGUAAAGCCCACCCAGCCAAACCUUCCCCUAACCUGGACAACGCUGGGCCAAUUGUGCACCACUCUAUGGGACUCCCGGUCACGGCCAGUUGUGACACUGCCUGGGAUCAAACCCGGGUCUGUAGUGACACCUCAAGCACUGCGACGCAGUGCCUUAGAGCGCUGCUCCACUCUGGAGAGCAUCUUAUAAUCUUAACUCAUUUAAAUAUGUAACGCCUCAAAACCGUCAUCACGUGCGCAUUAUAUGGCUUUGUUUACGAACUGUAAGAUAGCUCAAGCAAACUAAACCCUUUUCAUGUGUUGUGCCUUUUAGCUAGCUAGCUACUGUACUUACCAGCAUGGCAGAAAAAGCACAAUGUUGUGACUGGAUGCCAUAGCGUUCAUUUAAAAAGUUACACUAUUUUCCGAAGAAUUAACAUUUGACAGCAGUGGCUGCUUUUCAUUUCAGGCUCCACUGAAAAUUACGAUCAUGUUAGUGCAGUGUACAUUUAGAGCGAAGUUGCUUUAUAAACUGGUGAGGACAUUCGAUAGGUCUUGCCAGGAAGCUAAACCUGAAGACUGACGCUGUGCCAUUAUUGACAGUGGAUCUUGCAAGGGCUGACCAUAAUCUUCCCAGGCAAACACACCAGCAGGAAUGCUGUGAUACAAAAUCAGUUUUCCCAAGGCAAAGAAGACGGGAUAUGCUGAGAAGCCUGUGACAACAGACCAAACAUACUGCUACGUAGAAGGGCUCCUGGAUCUCCUCCCCAGCGAGGUCACCCUUGAUCCAGCACCGUAUGUGGGGAAGCUGUGCGAGCUGCCCAUCACAGGACGCCUGUCUGCCCAGUGUGAGAGGCCUGACAAGGAGGAGGCCACAGCUGGAUUUGUCUCCUGCUUUCAUCUUGGGGAAGACUGAAGCCAAGUGGGUGACUGAAUUCAAAACAGACUAUAUUCAUUGGGGCAUGGACAAGGUGUCAAAAGCAUUCCACAGGGAUACUGGUGGCCCAUGUUGACUCCAAUGCUUCCCAGAACUGUGUCAAGUUGGCUGGAUGUCCUUUGGGCGGUGGACCAUUCUUGAUACACACGGAAAACUGUAGAAAAACCCAGCAGGGUUGCAGUUCUUGACACAAACCGGUGCGCCUGGCAUCCUUCAAAGGGCACUUAAGUUUUUUUGUCUUGCCCAUUCACCCUCUGAAUGGCACACAUACAAUACAUGUCUCAAUUGUCUCAAGGGAAAACAAUCAUUCUUUAACCAG